AUGCAUCAGUUGUUGUUGAAACUGGCACUACAGUUGAGGAUGUUGUAGGAGUGAUUGUGGAAGCAAAUUUGUUUUGUUGGAAUUUUGUUGACGUUGGUUCAACCGUUGAGGAUGUAGAAAAGGUGGUUGUGGAAGCCAAAGAUGUUGUUGUAUCAAUUGUUGUUGUGGUGUCAGGCAUAGUUGUGGUUGCUGCAUCAGAUGUUGAUGCUGGUGCUAUAGUGGUCGAUUCAGAGUUGUGGAAGCCAAAACUGUUGUUGCAUCAGUUUUUGUUGUUGUGGUGUCAGACAGAGUUGUUGUUGAUGCAUCAGUUGUUGUUGAUACUGGCACUACAGUUGAGGAUGUUGUAGGAGUUUUAUGGAAGCCAAAUUUGUUGUUGCAUCUAUCAUUGUUGUGGUAUCAGGAAUACUUGUGGUUGUUGCAUCAGAUGUUGUUGACGUUGGUUCAACAGUUGAGGAUGUUGGAAAGGUGGUUGUAGUAGCCAAAGAAGUUGUUGUAUCAAUUGUUGUUGUGGUGUCAGGCAUAGUUGUGGUUGCUGCAUCAGAUGUUGAUGCUGGUGCUAUAGUGGUCGAUGUCAGAUGUGCGGUUGUGGAAGCCAAAACUGUUGUUGCAUCAGUAGAUGUUGGGGUGUCAGGCAGAGUUGUGGUUGAUUCAUCAGUUGUUGACGUUAGAUGGGUGGUUUUGGAAUACAAAGUUGUUGUUGCAUCAGUAGUUGUAGUGGUGUCAGACAGAGUUGUUUUUUGAUUCAUCAGUUGUUGUUUUUGACACUGAUGCUAGAGUUGAGGGUGUUGGAGUGGUGGUUGUGGUUGCUAAAGAUGUUGUUGUAUCAAUUGUUGUUGUGGUGUCAGGCAAAUUGUGGUUGCUGCAUCAGAUGUUGAUGCUGGUGUAUAGUGUCAGAGGUGUGGUUGUGGAAGCCAAAACUGUUGUUGUAUCAGUUGUUGUUGUUGUUGUGGUGUCAGACAGAGUUGUUGUUGAUGCAUCAGUUGUUGUUGAAACUGGCACUACAGUUGAGGAUGUUGUAGGAGUGAUUGUGGAAGCCAAAGUUGUUGUUGCAUCUAUCAUUGUUGUGGUAUCAGGAAUACUUGUUGUUGCUACAUCAGAUGUUGUUGACGUUGGUUCAAACGUUGAGGAUGUUGGAAAGGUGGUUGUGAAAUCCAAAGAUGUUGUUGUAUCAGUUGUUGUUGUGGUGUCAGGCAUAGUUGUGGUUACGGCAUCAGAUGGGUAUGCUGGUGCUAUAGUGGUCGAUAUCAGAGGUGUGGUUGUGGAAGCCAAAAUUGUUGUUGCAUCAGUUGUUGUUGUGGUGUCAGACAGAGUUGUGGUUGCUGUUUCAGUUGUUGUUGAAACUGGCACUACAGUUGAGGAUGUUGUAGGAGUGAUUGUGGAAGCCAAAUUUGUUGUUGCAUCUAUCAUUGUUGUGGUAUCAGGAAUACUUGUGGAUGCUGCAUCAGAUGUUGUUGCUGGUGCUAUAGUGGUCGAUAUCAGAGGUGCGGUUGUGGAAGCCAAAACUGUUGUUGCAUCAGUUUUUGUUGUUGUGGUGUCAGACAGAGUUGUUGUUGUUGCAUCAGCUGUUGUUGAUACUGGCACUACAGUUGAGGAUGUUGUAGUAGUGAUUGUGGAAGCCAAAUUUGUUGUUGCAUCAGUUGUUGUUGUGGUGUCAGACAGAGUUGUGGUUGCUGCAUCAGUUGUUGUUGAAACUGGCACUACAGUUGAGGAUGUUGUAGGAGUGAUUGUGGAAGCCAAAUUUGUUGUUGCAUCUAUCAUUGUUGUGGUAUCAGGAAUACUUGUGGUUGCUGCAUCAGAUGUUGUUGACGUUGGUUCAACCGUUGAGGAUGUAGAAAAGGUGGUUGUGGAAGCCAAAGAUGUUGUUGUAUCAGUUGUUGUUGUUGUUGUGGUGUCAGACAGAGUUGUUGUUGAUGCAUCAGUUGUUGUUGAAACUGGCACUACAGUUGAGGAUGUUGUAGGAGUGAUUGUGGAAGCCAAAGUUGUUGUUGUAUCAGUUGUUGUUGAUGUUGUUGUGGUGUCAGACAGAGUUGUUGUUGAUGCAUCAGUUAUUGUUGAAACUGGCGCUACAUUUGAGGGUGUUGUAGGAGUGAAAGUGGAAGCCAAAGUUGUUGUUACAUCUAUCAUUGUUGUGGUAUCAGGAAUACUUGUGGUUGCUGCAUCAGAUGUUGGUGACGAUGGUUCAACCGUUGAGGAUGUUGAAAAGGUGGUUGUGGAAGCCAAAGAUUUUGUUGUAUCAAUUGUUGUUGUGGUGUCAGGCAUAGUUGUGGUUGCUGCAUCAGUUGUUGUUGAUACUGGCGCUACAGUUGAGAAUGUUGUAGGAGUGAAAGUGGAAGCCAAAGUUUUUGUUGCAUCUAUCAUUGUUGUGGUAUCAGGAAUACUUGUGGUUGCUGCAUCAGAUGUUGUUGACAUUAGUUCAACCGUUGAGGAUGUUAGAAAAGUGGUUGUGGAAGCCAAAGAUGUUGUUGUAUCAAUUGUUGUUGUGGUGUCAGGCAUAGUUGUGGUUGCUGCAUCAGUUGUUGUUGAUACUGGCGCUACAUUUAAGGAUGUUGUAGGAGUGAUUGUGGAAGCCAAAGUUGUUGUUGCAGCUAUCACUGUUGUGGUAUCAGGUAUACUUGUGCUUGCUGCAUCAGUUGUUGUUGAUAUUGGCACUACAGUUGAGGAUGUUGUAGGAAUGAUUGUGGAAGCCAAAGUUGUUGUUGCAUCUAUCAUUGUUGUGGUGUCAGGAAUACUUGUGGUUGCUGCAUCAGAUGUUGUUGACGAUGGUUCAACCGUUGAGGAUGUUGAAAAGGUGGUUGUGGAAGCCAAAGAUAUUAUUGUAUCAACUGUUGUUGUAUCAAUUGUUGUUGUGGUGUCAGACAUAGUUGUUGUUGAUGCAUCAAUUGUUGUUGAUACUGGCGCUACAGUUGAGGAUGUUGUAGGAAUGAUUGUGGAAGCCAAAGUUGUUGUUGCAUCUAUCAUUGUUGUGGUAUCAGGAAUACUUGUGGUUGCUGCAUUAGAUGAUGUUGACGUUGGUUUAACCGUUGAGGAUGUUGAAAAGGUGGUUGUGGAAGCCAAAGAUAUUAUUGUAUCAAUUGUUGUUGUAUCAAUUGUUGUUGUGGUGUCAGACAUAGUUGUUGUUGAUGCAUGA
ensembl:lncRNA